rnacentral:rRNA from 1 species
GUGCCAGCCGCCGCGGUAAUACGGAGGGUGCGAGCGUUAAUCGGAAUUACUGGGCGUAAAGCGUGCGUAGGCGGCUAUUUAAGUCGGAUGUGAAAUCCCCGGGCUCAACCUGGGAAUUGCAUUCGAUACUGGAUAGCUAGAGUACAGUAGAGGAUAGUGGAAUUCCGGGUGUAGCGGUGAAAUGCGUAGAUAUCCGGAGGAACAUCGGUGGCGAAGGCGACUGUCUGGACUGAUACUGACGCUGAGGUACGAAAGCGUGGGGAGCAAACAGGAUUAGAUACCCAGUAGUC